GAUGAACGCUGGCGGCGUGCCUAACACAUGCAAGUCGAACGAAACUUCUUUAUCACCGUGUGCUUGCACUCACCGAUACAGGGUUGAGUGGCGAACGGAUCAGUAACUCGUGUUUAGCCUGCCCUAAAGAAGGGGAUAACACUUGGAAACAGGUGCUAAUACCGCAUAACCAUAGUUACCGCAUGGUAACUAUGUGAAAUGUAGCUGCACUACCGCUGUUGGUUGGUCCGGCGGCGCAUUAGCUAGUCGGUAGGGUAAAGGCUUACCAAGGCAAUGAGGGGUAGCCGAAUUGAGAGGAUGAUAGGCCACAUUGGAACUGAGACACGGACAAAACUCCUACGGGAGGCAGCAGUAGGGAAUCUUAGACAAUGGGCGAAAGCCUGAUAGAGCGAGGCCGCGUGGGUGAAGAAGGUCUUCGGGUCGUAAAGCCCUGUUGUUGGAGAAGAAAGGCAGUGGGAGUAGACGUUGACGUUUUGACGGUAACUAAUCAAGAAGCAACGGCUAACUACGUG
rnacentral:rRNA from 1 species